rnacentral:rRNA from 1 species
AUUGAACGCUGGCGGCAUGCCUUACACAUGCAAGUCGAACGGCAGCACGGGUGCUUGCACCUGGUGGCGAGUGGCGAACGGGUGAGUAAUACAUCGGAACGUACCUUAUCGUGGGGGAUAACGCAGCGAAAGCUGUGCUAAUACCGCAUACGCCCUGAGGGGGAAAGCGGGGGAUCGCAAGGCCUCGCGCGAUUAGAGCGGCCGAUGCCUGAUUAGCUUGUUGGUGGGGUAAAAGCCCACCAAGGCGACGAUCAGUAGCUGGUCUGAGAGGACAGUCAGCCACACUGGGACUGAGACACGGCCCAGACGCCUACGGGAGGCAGCAGUGGGGAAUUUUGGACAAUGGGGACAACCCUGAUCCAGCAAUGCCGCGUGAGUGAAGAAGGCCUUCGGGUUGUAAAGCUCUUUUGUCAGGGAAGAAACACCGGCUCUAACACAGUCCGGUAAUGACGGUACCUGAAGAAUAAGCACCGGCUAACUACGUGCCAGCAGCCGCAGUAA